AGGUGAUGUUGUUCUCAAAGAUUUGAAAUUAAAGGCAGAGGCCCUAAAUUUACUAAAACUUCCAGUCACUGUAAAAGCUGGUUUUAUCGGUACCAUUACAUUAAAGGUUCCAUGGAAAAGUUUGGGCAAAGAACCUGUGAUUGUUCUCAUUGACCGUGUAUUCAUCCUUGCCCAUCCUGUUACUGAUGACAGGACUCUCAAGGAGGACAGAGACAAACUAUUUGAAGCUGAACUUCAAGAGAUUGAGG